UCGCCGUUGCGAUGGGGCAACGCGCCCACGC
rnacentral:sRNA from 1 species